UACGAAGGGGGGCUAGCGUUGCUCGGAAUCGCUGGGCGUAAAGCGCACGUAGGCGGCUUUCUAAGUCAGGGGUGAAAUCCUGGAGCUCAACUCCAGAACUGCCUUUGAUACUGGAGAGCUCGAGUCCGGAAGAGGUGAGUGGAACUCCGAGUGUAGAGGUGAAAUUCGUAGAUAUUCGGAAGAACACCAGUGGCGAAGGCGGCUCACUGGUCCGGUACUGACGCUGAGGUGCGAAAGCGUGGGGAGCAAACAGG
rnacentral:rRNA from 1 species